CUUUCUUUUUUUUUUUUUUUUUUUUUGAAAUUAUUUUAAUGGUUAAAAACUUGUGAAACAGUAGCGUUAGUUAGCAAGACAGUUAUACAACUAGUACCUACCGAACCUUAUCGUCUUCUGCUGCUGCUGUUUUCUUCCUUCCUUCCUUCACCGAUAAACCCUAGGAAGGAAUCCUUGUUAAAUUAAAAUAUUAUAAAGGAGUGGGAGGUGAAAAUGGGUCUUCAACUUCCCCCAAAAUCAAUCAUAAACCCUAAUCACAAUCACGCACUUUUCCCCAAAUUGCCCACGCGUCAGCUUCAUAUAUCGUCUACCCGCUGCUUGCCCGUUAAUAAGGACUCCAACCAGACCACACCUCCUCAAGGGGACGCCAAUGAAGAAGAAGAUUUUGGAGUCAAAGUGGCAUUGUCUAUGCUGAGCUUUUAUAAAAAUGAAAUUUCCCCCUUAAUGCCAAAAAGUUGUCGAUACAUUCCUACUUGCAGCGAGUACUCCAUGAUUGCUUACAAGAAGUAUGGUGUGGCUAAAGGCUCCAUCUUGACCGCCUGGCGGAUCUGUCGCUGCAAUCCCUUAGGUGGAUCAGGAUUUGAUCCCCCAAGAUGGUUUGAUGAACCGAGUCCACCAGAACAGUAAACAACAUUGUCAAAAUCAAGGUGUUUGGAUCUAUAAUUGUGGUUUUGUGCUACAAUUUUUUUCCAUGAUAUCCUCAGAGGUAGCAAGAUGAGCAAGGUAAUGAUAUGGGCAUGUGCGCGUGGUGAUCAUAUAACCAAGGAGCAUUUACCAGUUUAUUAGCUUGCGCCUAUGGAGCCGAGGCAACUCUAUUGGCAGCAUCGUCUAAUGUAGUUAAAUUACACAUUGAAAAUUUUAACUAACGAGUCUCUCAAAUGAAGUUGACUCGUCAAAGUCAACAGCACAUCUAAAGCAUGGGAUCUGUAAUAAUAAUAUUUCAAUAAUUGGUGGCACGAUGAAA